CUGGUGGACUUACAUUACCAGAGAUCAACAUUUAUUAUAAAUUUUCUAUAAUUAAUACAGUGUGGUAUUCGCUCAGGAGAGAAAAAAUAGAUCAAUGGAAAAGAAUUGGGAGCCCAAAAACAGAUCCACAUGUAUACAGUGAGUUAGUUUAUUAGCCUUGAAAUAUGUUGGAGAAAUAAUAGUCAUUUUAAUAACUGAUGCUGGGUUAUCAGUUAUACUGAUAACUACUACUUAACACUACUUAACACUAGCUCUUCAUACAACUACAGGCAAUAAAUACAAAUAGCAUGCAGCUGGCAGACUGG
rnacentral:lncRNA from 1 species